rnacentral:lncRNA from 1 species
CUUCUCAAGGGUCUUUCUGAUUCAAAAUACUGAUUCAUUCCAUGCCAGACCACCACGACUUGGAAGAUAGGCUGAUUCUUGCUGUGGGGGUUACUAUCUAAGUGUUCUCUCAACAGGAAAGUGCUCAGACCAUAAGAUUCCAAACUUUCGCCAGUCCUGGGAUCUUUUUAAGUCUGUGGCACAGUGCCAUGGUACCAGGCAAGGAGAGCUUCUAGAGAAGGUGGGUGUGGCUGCCCAAGUUUCAGGAUAUAAGAGGACACAAGAAACAGGACAUUUGGAGUGGUCAGCCUCAGGUUCCCCAAGUGUGGAAUAGGAGAGGUGGGGUUUUCAUUGUGAUGCACAUGGUAAGGUUCUGGGUUUCUCCAAAGGAUCUAUUGAUUGUAGCUCUUAGAACCCCAUUCUUGUCAAAGAGCUUAUACACCUAUGGACCAGGGCAUCUGGACUGAACCCCUAAACACUUGCUGUGGAGGCAAUAUGCAAAAUAUAUUCACCAGGACUCCUCUGGGGGAAAAGUGGCUUAAUCUUCACUGCUAACCACAUGACUUUUCUGCAGAGAUGUUUCCUUUUGUGAAAAGCAAAGAUGGGCUGAACUGAGAUGGACUGACACGUAGAAAUUAAAUGUCCUGAGAAAAUGCAGGUUGCACAUGGAAGAACUACCUGUGGCUAAAGUCCCUGUAUCCACAAUUUAGUUUGUCAAUCUCAUAUUUCUUAUGAAAAAUGAAGCCUUUUAUUACCUUAGAAGUUUUAAAAGUCCUUGGGCUACACAGUUUCUCCUUUUCCCUUUUCCUUCCUUGUCUGAAAGAUGGUCAAAAGGAAGAGAGUGCUUUGAAACACAUUAUAAUUAUAGCCUAAUAAAUAGUCCCACUGGUUUUCUGUGGGAAAACAUUUAUUCUAAUGCUCAUUUCUAACAAAUAUACUUUUAAGAGGGAUUUUAUCCUCUACUACAUAUUCAGCAUGUGAAAAAUCAGUGUAUUACUUUUCUGUUAGAAGUAAAUACCAUCUUAAGAUACACAUAUCAAAAUCAAGGUUACCGACUAAAUCACAUUAAUACUUAUUGAUAUUUUAUAUUGAAUAAAUUGAGUGUGGUUUUAUGUAUUCACUAGAUAGCAG